AAGAAAGAUGCAUUGAAAAAAAUCACCCAAAACCUAAACAUGUAAUUAUGAUAAUUAUUUAAUUUUUAUAUCUAUGGGGGUUAUGAUUGGGCAGCAGUUGAUAGAUUGGUAUAACACAAUGCAUUAAUUUUAAUAAAUUGUGUACUCUGUAGACCUGUCUAUAGAUAAUACAUUAACAUGUAUUAGUUACUAGUUUUUGUUAUAAUUGGGCCAAAUACAUGUGAGGAGUGGGUGUUUUCUAGCCACAUCUUACUUCUUGACCCAACCAGAAACACAGUAGUUAAAACUCUCAACAUCAAGUGUAAUAGUUACAACCUGUUUUCUCAUGGGGAUGAGGGGAGGAACAUUAGGGCUAAUUUGUUCAAUUUUUGCUGUAAGCAUUCUCACCUCACUUGCAUUUCCAUAUUAUCAGAUGAGAGAAAGGUUAGGAAAAGGGGAAACUAUUUAGAGAACCAUAUGCAAAUGAGCAUUAGAAAAUAGAAUUCUAAGAGAUCGUUAUUUUAUAUUCAGAGCAUGUGUAUGCAUCACUGAAAGUAUAUCUCUAGGGAAUUCAACAAGUAGUCAUGUUUCUUGAAUGACAUUGUAGUCUUGUUUAUAUUUUUAAGGAUAUUGCGAUAAUAUCAUGUCUUAAAUAUUCAAGAAAGUAGGUACUAUAUCUACUAAAUAAAUCUCUGUAUGUGUUAGCAUACCUACUGAGACCCGUUAAAGGGAACACAGGUCCAUCAUCCAGGGACUCAAUACGUCCCUUAGUAGAUAAUCCCCAAUUACUGAAUGUAUUAUAAAGCUUGUUUCUUUUCCAGUUGUCCAUCUAAACAGCUAGACAUUCUAAAACUGUGUAGAUAAUUAUGUAAUUCUCUACAGGUGGAUUAAGAAUAUACAAAACAUUGCAAGUUUUGUCUGUAAAACUUUCAUUGGGGAAGAAAGUGGUUUGAUAAGUGGUUUUAUACUUUUUCAUUUAUACAUUUAGAACUUUAUCCAGCUGAACUUAAUGCACUUAAAAUAGACCAUCCUAAGGCUAGCCUUUCUCUUUACACUUGUACUCAGAUGGUGUUCGUAUUUCUCCAGAUCUGAGCCUUAAUUGUCUAUUGAAAUCAGCAAAAAAAAAAGAAAAGAGGGUUGGCAUUUUAAAAUCUUUCUUUAGGAAGUUUCCAUUGUGAUACAGCAGAAAUGAAUCUAACUAGUAUCCCUGAGGAUGCGGGUUCAAUCCCUGGCCUUGCUCAGUGGGUCGAGGACCUGGCGUGGCUGUGAGCUGUGGUGUACGUUGCAGAUGCAGCUCAGAGCCACAGCAACACUGCAUCGGAGCCGCGUCUGAGACCUACACCACAGCUCAUGGCAAUGCCAGAUCCUUAACCCACUGAGCAAGACCAGGGAUCAAACCCAAAACCUCAUGGUUCCUUGUCGGAUUCGUUUCCACUGUGCUACGAUGGAAACUCCUGAUUUCUGAUUUUGAAACACUUGUUUUGGGAAGUCAUAUUUCUGCUUUGUUGAUCUUCUAAUGACAAAAAGUGAGUGAAGGAUCACUCAGCCAUGUAUGGACUUACACAAGAUGAAGAGCAUAUUUAUACUGUGCUGAAUGCUAAAUGCCAUGGGUUACCAGAUGACUAUAAGCAUGAACCAUGACUGCAGCAAUGACCCUGAAAAGGCAUUACUGCCUACCAUCAUCAGAAAGUAGGAGAAAAAUGUGGUGAGUGUUGAGGAAGGAAUGAGGAAGUAUGGUGCAGAAGGAGAGAGAAGAGAGAUGAGAAAGAUUUAUUUGGAAAAUGACAAAAACGAUAGAAAUUUUUUGUUUAUUAUUUCACCAUCUUUUAAUUCAGCAGAUUCCUUGAUUAAGAAGUACUUCCUCAGCAUUGCUUUUUAUAAAUGUUACUGAAAAGCAAAAGGGAAAAUGUCUACUCUGUUUUAAUAAUAAAAACCCAAUUUCAGAAGAGAGAUAUCUUGAGAAGCACUAAUUUAGUGCAGACAUCCUAAAUGAGAGAUUGCUCAAUUCAUCAAGAAAUAAGAAAUAAAUACUGUUCUUUCCUAAAUGUGUAAGGCAAACAUAAAUAAUAAUAACACCUUCAUUCAUGUACUGCUAUUUAGAUGUUUAAUCUUGGCUUCUCAAGAACAUGCUACCUUUGUAAGAUUCAUUAAGGGGCAGUGUGUGCUGCCUGACAAAUAUGGUCAAAUAGCAUCAAGGGUCAUUAGGCCAUUCAAAGGUCAAAUGACAAGGGUCAUUAUUAAGUGGCCACCACCACAGAAGCUGAAGCUACGCUUCAGACACAGAUAAUUCAGCAGGACUUUGAAGAAUGUUAGAUGGGGUUAGAGACAUGAACAGAUUUAUGAUAUCAAGGUAACUUUGGAAGCAGUUUGGAGGAUUGGAAGAUGGAGAUUAAGAAUACAGGCAGAGAUGAAGUAAACCCAACAAAGACAGACAGGAUGCUGUCAGAAAGAAUACUUAGUUCUUCAAACAUCACAGCGGCCUCAGAUAAGCAAAAUCAAGCACAUUCACUUCAUAAACAGUCAGCCGUGGUCUGAAUUAAGGAAGGAUCUUUGGGGCAGAAGAAAAGUGAAGGAAGCAUGGCGGAUGUCUUUAGACAACAUUGGGAUGAAUGAAGGGUUUAGAUGUCUAUCUGGGGCAACCUUGUGGGUGGUGAGCCAAUUCACAGGGCCGUGGAAUAGGGGUGCCUGGCAAUUUCCUCGAGGAAGGUGCUAAAACCAGUCAGGGCCAUAUGGAACGUGAGGUAUCUGGAGAAGACCCAAGUAGAUGUCCUGGAACCAGAUGGAUGUUCAGACACAACAGAAGGGUUCAGCACUGCAUAUACAAAUUUGUGGAGCUGUCAGCUCGUUUGAUCUUUGGCUAUGGAUAAAAUUACCCAGAAAACAUGUCAAAGGUUGAGAACAGGAGCCUAGGGAUUUAAGAUAGUCUUAUUCUAGCUACUGUGCUUUGGAAGUGGCAGUGAUAACCCAAACCAACCUCGUGAUAUGGGAGGCUGAGGGGUAAAGCCUCCUCCAUUAUGAGUGUGUCACCUAGAGGCGUGGCUUCAUUGUUCUUCCAGAGCAGAGCUGGGACCAACCAGGGCAAGUUAAUGAGUGAGCUUUGAGCAUCAUAAAAGAGACCAAAUGAACAGCUGGAAUGCCACAACAGACAGACAGACAGACUGCCUUAGGAGGUAGUGAGCUUCCUAACAUGAAGCCAAAUGCCAGAUGAGCAGUUUCUGCGUUAGGAGGGAAGCAGAAUUCCAUGGCUUGUGCUGCUUCCUUCCACUCUCAGAUUCUGGAGUAAACUGUGUACCAUAACUGAAUGAUAUCUUGCAAACUUAAGUAUAACAAAGUGAGUGGAUUGUUCCUAUUAGAAGGUCGCAAGUUGUUUUUGAAAAAUAAAUAUAAAACUGAUGUGGGUGUUUCAGACAUUUUCAUUUUCUGUCUGUAUUUACCUCCAUCACCCCAUUCAUCUGAUUUUUCUCCUCUCUCUUCCUGUCGUUCUUCAUAAAGACACAUCAGUAACUCAGUUUUUGUCAUGGAAAGAUGUCAAAG
rnacentral:lncRNA from 1 species